AGGUAUAGCGUUGUGUCGUAAUUAUAAGGGGUAGAGCACUGAAUGGGCUAGGGCAUAUACCAAUGUACCAAACCCUAUCAAACUCCGAAUACUUAUAAUGUAAUCACAGCAGUCAGGCGGCGAGUGAUAAAAUCCGUCGUCAAGAGGGGAACAACCCAGACUAACAGCUAAGGUCCCUAAAUCUCAUUUAAGUGGAAAACGAUGUGGAGUUACUGAAACAACCAGGAGGUUGGCUUAGAAGCAGCCAUCCUUUAAAGAAAGCGUAAUAGCUCACUGGUCUAGUGAUUCUGCGCGGAAAAUAUAAC
rnacentral:rRNA from 1 species